rnacentral:rRNA from 1 species
AUUGAACGCUGGCGGCAUGCCUUACACAUGCAAGUCGAACGGCAGCACGGGGCAACCUGGUGGCGAGUGGCGAACGGGUGAGUAAUGCAUCGGAACGUACCUUUCAGUGGGGGAUAACGUAGCGAAAGUUACGCUAAUACCGCAUAUUCUGUGAGCAGGAAAGCAGGGGAUCGCAAGACCUUGCGCUGAUUGAGCGGCCGAUGUCAGAUUAGCUAGUUAGUGAGGUAAAGGCUCACCAAGGCGACGAUCUGUAGCGGGUCUGAGAGGAUGAUCCGCCACACUGGAACUGAGACACGGUCCAGACUCCUACGGGAGGCAGCAGUGGGGAAUUUUGGACAAUGGGGGCAACCCGGAUCCAGCCAUGCCGCGUGAGUGAAGAAGGCCUUCGGGUAGUAAAGCUCUUUCGGCCGGGAAGAAAUCGCACGGGCUAAUACCCUGUGUGGAUGACGGUACCGGAAUAAGAAGCACCGGCUAACUACGUGCCAGCCGCCGCCGUAAGAC